UCUCACAGGUGUGGACUAGAUCUCACAGGUGUGGACUAGAUCUCACAGGUGUGGACUAGAUCUCACAGGUGUGGACUAGAUUGCACAGGUGUGGACUAGAUUGUAUAGGUGUGAACUAGAUCUCACAGGUGUGGACUAGAUCGCACAGGUGUGGACUAGACCUCACAGGUGUGGAAUAAACCAAAGCUGUAGCUAAGAGUUAGAAAAUAUGAGCUAGGCUUGACUGUGAAUUGUUACAGGCAGAAAAGCUGGAUGUACAUUUGUUGCUAUGGAUACUUGUGGAAGAGCUGUUCACGGGUUAGUGCCUUCAUCAGAAAAUAAAUCAAUUUACAAAAGAAA